AGAGUUUGAUCCUGGCUCAGGAUGAACGCUAGCGGCAGGCCUAAUACAUGCAAGUCGAACGGUGUCUUCGGACAUAGUGGCGCACGGGUGCGUAACACGUAUGCAACCUACCUUACAUUGGGGGAUAGCCUUUCGAAAGGGAGAUUAAUACCGCAUAAGACAGUAACUUGGCAUCAAGUAGCUGUUAAAGAUUUAUCGAUGUAAGCUGGGCAUGCGACCAAUUAGCUAGUUGGUGAGGUAAUGGCUCACCAAGGCUAUGAUUGGUAGGGGAACUGAGAGGUCAAUCCCCCACACUGGCACUGAGAUACGGGCCAGACUCCUACGGGAGGCAGCAGUAGGGAAUAUUGGGCAAUGGACGCAAGUCUGACCCAGCCAUGCCGCGUGCAGGAUGAAGGCGUUAUGCGUUGUAAACUGCUUUUAUACAGGAAGAAACGACUCUUGCGAGAGGCAUUGACGGUACUGUAUGAAUAAGCACCGGCUAACUCCGUGCCAGCAGCCGCGGUAAUACGGAGGGUGCAAGCGUUGUCCGGAUUUAUUGGGUUUAAAGGGUGCGCAGGUGGUUUAUUAAGUCAGUGGUGAAAGACGGUCGCUCAACGAUUGCAGUGCCAUUGAAACUGGUAGACUUGAGUAAAGUAGAGGUGGGCGGAAUUGAUAGUGUAGCGGUGAAAUGCAUAGAUAUUAUCAAGAACUCCAAUUGCGUAGGCAGCUCACUUGGCUUUUACUGACACUCAUGCACGAAAGUGUGGGUAUCAAACAGGAUUAGAUACCCUGGUAGUCCACACUGUAAACGAUGAUAACUAGGUGUCGGCCGAAUCUGGUCGGUGCCACAGCGAAAGCGUUAAGUUAUCCACCUGGGGAGUACGCCGGCAACGGUGAAACUCAAAUGAAUUGACGGGGACCCGCACAAGCGGUGGAGCAUGUGGUUUAAUUCGAAGAUACGCGCAGAACCUUACCAACCCUUGACAUGUCUGUCGCGAGUUUAGGAAACUAGACUUUUCGGUUCGGCCGGACAGAACACAGGUGCUGCAUGGCUGUCGUCAGCUCGUGUCGUGAGAUGUUGGGUUAAGUCCCGCAACGAGCGCAACCCCUACUUUUAGUUGCCAUCAGGUCAUGCUGGGCACUCUGAAAGAACUGCCAGUGAUAAGCUGGAGGAAGGUGGGGAUGACGUCAAGUCCUCAUGGCCCUUACGGGUUGGGCUACACACGUGCUACAAUGGUAGUGACAAUGAGAUGCAAAGUGGCGACGCUAAGCUAAACUCAAAAAUCUACCUCAGUUCGGAUUGCACUCUGCAACUCGAGUGCAUGAAGUUGGAAUCGCUAGUAAUCGUAGAUCAGCGUGCUACGGUGAAUACGUUCCCGGGUCUUGUACACACCGCCCGUCACACCAUGGAAGUUGGUUCUACCUUAAAGCAGAUUGCUAACCGCAAGGAGGCGUUUGACCAAGGUAUAGUCAGCAACUGGGGUGAAGUCGUAACAAGGUA
rnacentral:rRNA from 1 species